CUGCAGGAGAGAGAGAAGAUAAGACGGAGAGAGAAGGAGGAGAGGAGGGAGAGGAAAAGAGGUGCGGUGGCAGGGAAAUCAUCGUCGGAUGCGUCUUAUAUGUGAUGGGUGUGUUCCCAUCAAGUCGAUGGUGGGGUUGAUGUGCCCGUCGAUUCGUGAUCCGCUGGCUGAGCUCAUCUUCUCAAUGGCGGACUGGUGUUCUAUGUUAGUCGGAGCCAUUGUAUGUGGUUGUGCAGUUGCUGAUGUACAGGAGGCGUCCGUGGUGUCAGUUCUUCGUCGCCCAUGCUUAUCUUCUAUAUGCUCUAGCAGCCAGUUCAAGUCAGGCAACUUCUCCUGGGCGAUCGUGCGUACUUGGUCGCUGUGGCUCCUUUGGGCCUUUUUCGACGCCUGGGAAUCAGAAUUAAUAAAAUGGAGAUAAGGAACCAUGUAGUUCACUGAGCAGCUAUAAAGCCUAAGAUAAACUACAAUAAACAGAAAGUUGAGGAAUCAACCAAAUGUGUAGAAAUUUUAGUGACUAACUUAUGACUUGUUUAUUUCAGAGAAACUAAUGACUUAUCAAUCCAACAGACAGUAUGAAGUUGUGCCAAGUAAAGCCAAAAAAGAAACUGUAUGUAUAUAACGGAGUAGCGGAUGCGGUUCAAGCUGUUUUUUUGCCUGCUUAUUUUUUAUGUAGCUUUUUUGGCCUGCUUGUCAGUGAUGCAAUGCCUUAUGGAGUAACGAAAGCCUAGAAUGAGAGUUAGGGAAAAUGAAAUGGACACCAAAUUUGGUGAGGCUUAUAUACUCUGAACUUGGAGCCAAGUAGAAACCCCAGUGUUAGCUGAACAGAAAAUUUAAUGUGUUAAGUUAUGCAUAUUGCAUUGUACCCAAAUAAUUCAAAUAAGUGUUAACUCAAAGGAUUGUUUUUGUAGAGGUCCAUAUGCAAUUCAUCAGAUACAGAUAAAGGGUUAGUAUCUCCCAUGUGUGCAAAAUUGGUGUGCAGAUAGCAAUUCACAGACCACUUUCCCUGUCAGUAUGCUAACAUUUUCGUAUAUGCAUUUAUAAUUAAAAUUAUUAAUAAUAGCAUAAUGAAUCAUUAAUCAGUCCCUCUACUGUCUGCACAUGCUUAAAACUCAACCAUGGUAUCAUUAUGGAAUUUGAACAACCUAGGCCCCCACAGACACUAGCAAAUCAACCUAGCUACUGCAUUUCCCUUUUGCCCAAUUAUCCCCAUAUAUCUUCAAUUUGGUGCAGGAACCUCAAAUUAUGUAAAAUUUGGUGCUAAUCAACCGGGUGCAUACCUGCAGCCUUGAGGAGCAGUACUGAGGCAGGAGGUGUCUUCAAGAUAAAGCAGGAUUUAAUUGAUGGAGUCCUGCUGCUAAAGGACUGCUAAAGGACGUGAACAGGAAGUCCUAUCGCUGGAUGUUUAUUGUCCGAAUUGCAAGGAUCUGGGAAUACAUGAGUACAGACCCUAUCGAAUUCUAUAGCUCUAUUCAUUGGCACAGCAGUUGAUCAAUUUUGAGAUGGCACAUCAACAUUAUGUACCUGAAGCGAUCGCUACAGAAGGAAGGUACCAAACAAGAUUAACUGUUUCUAUGCUUCUCAAAAUACUUUAGUAUAUGCCCAUAAUAUCACAGUAUGAAUUGCUGUGUGGGAAGUUUGCUUUUCCUACCAUCAUGGAAUAAUAAUUCAUUUUUUAGUUUGAUAUAUUCCGCGCCCAAUUAACUAUUUGUAUUUGCCAGAGAAUGCAGAAAAAAAUACUAACCUGCUUGUGUUCCCGAGAGAGUGUAUUUUCUCCAUACCUCAACAUUCUUGAUACAUAUGGUCAUCUCUGUUCUGGACAACACACUUGACGACCUCUCUUCAUGGCACAAAACUGAAACUGUGCCAUUAAUAUAUUUUCCUUGCAUGCUUGUCUAAAUAAAGGGUGCAAUACACAUGGCAUAGUCGCAUAGAUAUACAAAUCCCUUAUUCCUGUGAGCAAGACUGAAGCUUGCUACUUGUUAAGACCAGUCAUAAACAUUUCUGUGAUUGUAGCUGAUUCCCGUCAGUGAAACUUUGCCAUGACCAUUGUUUAUUCAGUGAAAUAGCUGAUUCCAAUCAUCCAUCAACUAGAUUUGUGAUAAUCACAACAACAAGCUUAUAUCUUACAAAUCGCCUGAUUGGUGAUUAUCCAUUUUAUAUGAUGUUUUUCAUUUGCAAGCGCUGAGUUUUUUCCUUUCAAGUUUCUCUCUCUUACUCUAUUUCAUUAAAUAUAUUUCUCCUCUCACUCCAUCAUUCAGUCUGUCGGUUACUCAUGAUGAGUGAUUAUAUGCAAUCAUCCGACAAUAAUUAGUAUAGAUAAUUAGUUAUGCCAGGUUGCUACAUUUCAAUCUCCUUUUUGCCAAUAUGAAAUAUGAUGGCAUAUUAAUAUUGAGAGACAGUCUCGUCGUCCGCUGCAGCAUCACCCUUCUUUUUCGCCGCCCUAACUUUUUUGCACCCCAGGCCUAGCACGCGAUAACGGCGCCAUGAGGAUUCUCUGCCGUGAGGAGUACCCCGACCCGUAUGAUGGCCACCGGAAGGUCACACACUUCUUUGGCUCGCUCCGACUGGCUCCAUUGACGACUUCUCUAAGGUGUAUUUGUUGGGUUCCUCUUGGCGUGUCGAACAAAAAUUGGCGUUCAGCACUGCUAUUUAAAGAUGGUUUGAUCAGUACUACAGAAAACCCAUAGAUUAUUGUAGGUAUCUAAGAAUGAUGAUGAUUACACUCGGAGCAAGCCUUGUUGCGACGCUACAAGUGUUGCCCUCCUCCUCCCCAAGGGCAAGGUGAAGGAAGGUGCCUGUGUGGUUCUUCUGCAGCUCGUAGCGAGGAUUGCUGUGUCCAACCUGCACAAGAAUGCCAAGAAGUCCUUCUCGGAGACGUAAGCCAUGGCGCAUGUUUCUGCCAUGAUUUCCUUUGGUUGGAUUUCGUGGAUUUAGGUGUUGAAAAAUUAUGGGCUGUGGAUGCAGGAUUAAGGACAUGUACUUGCACUACAACGAGAGAUCUGGGCUGCUUCUUUGUGGCUUCCAAACUUGAAGUGUUUGUUUGGAAGUUAGUUUAGUUUUUUGUUGUGGAUUCACAGCUUCUCACAUGUACCAUCCUCUUAGACCUUUAGAUUUCCAAAGAAACUAAAUGAAGAUGUGGUGGUAUGGUCUCAA